rnacentral:rRNA from 1 species
UACGUAGGGGGCAAGCGUUGUCCGGAAUCAUUGGGCGUAAAGAGCGUGUAGGCGGCUCGAUAAGUCUGAUGUGAAAGUCCAGGGCUCAACCCUGGAAGGCCGGUGGAAACUGUCGGGCUAGAGUCCGGAAGAGGCGAGUGGAAUUCCCGGUGUAGCGGUGAAAUGCGCAGAUAUCAGGAGGAACACCAAGUGCGAAGGCAGCUCGCUGGGACGUUACUGACGCUGAGACGCGAAAGCGUGGGGAGCAAACAGG